UCCUCCUAACAGGGUGGGAGUCGUAGGUUGGGGUGACUGAGAUAUCCAGUGCACAGAUCCCAUGCCUCUCACUCUGUAGAAUGACUCCAAGAGCCGAGGUCCCUUAGGCCUCAGAUUCUUACUGGGCAGAGAAGAAAAGAGUUUAGAAUGGAAUUAUCCCCGAAAGGAGGCAAACGGAGAGAACCCAUCAGAGCUGAGCUCUCACAGCCACUCUGCCCCAGUGACGGGACGCUAACCUCGGUACUGUCUGAGAACAACUGUCUGAGAAUGGCCUGUGCUGUGACUGACCGUCGUAUUAGCCGACAACAGUAUCCGCGAGUUUCCCACCUCGCCUGCUCUGCCCUGCAGACAACCUCUGUGAGUCCCUCUGUGACUGGGAAGGAGAGGGGACCCAUUUACUUGGGUGGGUAAACUGAGGAUCAGAGGAGGCUUCCACAUCCUGGCAGGGACCAGAUGCACAGGUCAGCCCUGGCGCACUGUAUGUGAGGAAGCAGCCAUUCUAGAACUCAGCUGCCCUCUGGGCGCCUAAUGAAGACGCUAAACCUGAAGCUGGCUGCAGAUUCAAGCUCCUGUUCAGAUAUAACAAACCCACUGGAAUAGAAGGAUUAGGUCUCCCUUCACCAGAGCCAACAUGGUUGAGAUGGAGAGUUGAAAUGCAAAGGAAGAUGUAUAACAGCCCCCGAGAGCAGCCGCACCACUCUACUGGGAAAGGAUCCAUCUUCUUGCCCCGAAUAGCCACAUCUCAAGGGAACCUGCAGGCGUGAGCAGAAGAGGGUCAGAUUUCUCACAGAUCCUUGGUUGGGGUUUCUGGUGCAUGACCCCCCCCAUCCCCAGCCCCCAAAAUCACAUUGUUUGAAUUCACUUACCCAGAGCAAAAUCCAACCAAAAGUAAAAAGACACUCCGAGAUGCUUAUUUUAAAGAUCUUCCGCAAGGUGUUCUGGACAUCAAUGGCUCUUAAAACCCACAGCAGCACUUUCAUGAUUUAAGCGUAGAGGAAGCGGACAUAUGGAUCAAAUUUUCUUGGAAUUCCUCCUGGUUUUAAAAGCGAAAGGUAGACGAGUCAGCGACAUGGCAGAGUGCCUGGACCACUUAGAGAUGUGCCCUCGAGGCAAAGCACCCUGAACCCCAAGGCUGGAGGACGAACUUGUCCGGUUUAUGUAUCCGUCCGUGCAGAGAGCAGAUCUGGGGGGUCCUUAAGGAGGACUCUCUGGCGUGGAUCCUACGGCCAUUUUUUUUUUUUAAAUCUGAGAUUCCUCUCUGAGCACCAUCAGGACCCACAGCCACAGUUUCCGAGCUUUGUGAUUUUCCCCUAAAAUUGCUGGUUGGAGACUCAGGUGGUGGAGCUGUCACCCCAGUCUACUUCUACUAGGAUCUCUCAGUUGGAGCUGGAUGUGGGGACCUAGGCCUAUAACCCCAGCUACUUAGGAGGCUGAGGCAGGAGGAUCAUAAGUUUGGGACCAGCCUAGACAACUUAGUAGACUCUGUCUCAAAUCUGAGAGAUGAAAAGAGGCCUGGGAAUGUAGCCGACUGUGAAGCAAGCUCGAGAACACUGGCCUAGGAUGUUUAGGGCCCUCAGCUUUGUGCCCAGCACUACAUAUAAGAAAAAAAAAAACCCAACUUUAUCAAGACCCCUAACUCUGUAUGUCCAACAGGUUUCUUGGCUGCCAGGCUGGGAUGCUAUGGUCAGAGAGAUGAGCCCCUGAAGGAGACUGGUUCUGUGGACCCUGAAUCCCAAAUGCUUCCCCAUACGGAAUCACGCACGGAGCUGGGUGAAGUGAGGCAAAAGGAGAAGGCAGCUCAAGGCACCAUCGUCGGCGAGGAGGAGGAGCCAGCGGCUGCAGAGGAGGAGGAGCCAGCGCCUGCAGAUGGUGUGGGAGUAUGAACGCGAAGCCACCCCGGCUGUGGGCCUGUGCAGCAAGCUCUUAUUUAUGGUAACACGCAGUGCAGGAAAAUUUUAUAUAAGGCAUUAAAGUGCAGGCAAUUUAAGACACUCGAUCAGCCUUCCUCCCCAGCACCCCCUCCCACCCGUGCUCCCCUCCCUCCCCCAGCGUUUGAAUUUCAGCUGGGUACAGGCUGAUAAUGAUGAAAUUACAUUGCAAACAGGUGCGGCCUCUUCUGCUCUGGACCGAUGCCAGGGCAUGUGAAUCCUCAGUGGGGGGCGUGUGGUUUGCCUGGUUUAUGAGGCUGGGGAUGGAGGGUGAGGGAACUUCCCUCCCCGGAGUAUCUCCACCCAUCAAUCCCCUCUAUGCAGCCAAGCUAGGCCCUCUGCCUUCUUGGCUCUGGGUCCCCUGUGGGGUGUGGAUUCCACCAUCCUAGUAGGGAGGCAUUGUUUACCCAGGACAGUAGGACCCGGAAUGAACACACAGGCUGAAUCUCAUCAGCAAGGAUUCCGCAAACAACAGCCACACAAUCGGGCUAGACUGUGCUGCAUGUGGGCAGUGCUUAAGCUCUUAACUUACUGGAAGGAGUAAGUCAAACUCUCUCCAGUGAUAGUUAUUAAAGCUACCCCAAGCCCUGGCCCUUCAAUACCAGCCACCGCCAAAUAAUUGUUAUGGGAUUGAGGGUGAAUGGCUAAGAGGUUCUGGGCCUCAAUUUUAUCACCUGUGAAAUGGGGAUUAGGUAACUUUCUUCAUAAAAUUGUGAAAAUGAGCAGGAUGGGUUUAUUUAAGAAUCACCUGAG
rnacentral:sRNA from 1 species